UAUCUCUGUAGAGUCUGCAUAUCAAUAAGCGGAGGAAAAGAAACUAACUAGGAUUCCCUUCAGUAACGGCGAGUGAAGCGGGAAGAGCUCAAAUUUGAAAUCUUCAAGGUUUUACCUUGACGAAUUGUAGUUUAAAGAAGUGUUUUCUGUUGGAGUUUUGGUAAAAGUUCUUAGGAAUAGGACAUCAUAGAGGGUGAGAAUCCCGUAUUUGACCAUUAUUUCCAACUUUGUGAUACACUUUCAAAGAGUCGGAUUGUUUGGGAAUGCAGUCCAAAAUGGGUGGUAAAUUUCAUCUAAAGCUAAAUACUGGCGAGAGACCGAUAGCGAACAAGUACCGUGAGGGAAAGAUGAAAAGAACUUUGAAAAGAGAGUUAAACAGUACGUGAAAUUGUCAAAAGGGAAGCGUUUGACACCAGUGUUGUUUUCUCGAAAAUCAAUUAAAAAUGGCGGGAUUUUGUGUUGUAUUGACUUUAUCAGCUUUCUGCACUUUUUUCCUGUCUUCUUUAAUGCACUUUUCGUUUAACAAGUCAACAUCAAUUUCUUUUGUUGUAAAAGGGUCAUUGGAAGGUGGCUUUCUUUUCGGAGAAAGUGUUUAUAGCCUUUGACUUCUGCAAUCGGAGAGAUUGAGGUCUGCAGCGUAGAUCCUUCGGGGUUAGAUGCAUUUGUGCUAAGUUAUAGCCUUUCAUAGACAACUUGUUGACUAUGAUCAGUCAUGUAGCUUACUCGCUUAUGUCAUUUUACCUACGCUUAGGAUGUUGAACGCGCACAGAGUCUC
rnacentral:rRNA from 1 species